CCUACGGGAGACAGCAGUGAGGAAUAUUGGUCAAUGGGCGAGAGCCUGAACCAGCCAAGUCGCGUGAGGGAAGACGGUCCUACGGAUUGUAAACAUCUUUUGUCAGGGAGCAAGGAGCGCCACGAGUGGUGCGGCGAGAGUACCUGAAGAAAAAGCAUCGGCUAAAUCCGUGCCAGCAGCCGCGGUAAUACGGAGGAUGCGAGCGCUACUCGGAUUUAUUGGGUUUAAAGGGUGCGUAGGCGGAAUAUCAAGUCAGCGGUAAAAAUUCGGGGCUCAACCCCGUCGUGCCGUUGAAACUGAUGUUCUUGAGUUGGCGAGAAGUAUGCGGCAUGCGUGUUGUAGCGGUGAACUGCAUAGAUAUCCCGCAGAACUCCGAUUGCGAAGGCAGCAUACCGGCGCCCAACUGACGCUGAAGCACGAAAGCGUGGGUAUCGAACAGGAUUAGAUACCCGAGUAGUC
rnacentral:rRNA from 1 species